rnacentral:tRNA from 2 species
GCCCGGAUAGCUCAGUUGGAAGAGCAUCAGACUUUUAAUCUGAGGGUCAAGGGUUCAAGUCCCUGUUCGGGCA